rnacentral:rRNA from 1 species
UGUUUUCUAGGGACGAUAAUGACGGUACUCAGAGGAGGAAGCCACGGCUAACUACGUGCCAGCAGCCGCGGUAAUACGUAGGUGGCGAGCGUUGUCCGGAUUUACUGGGCGUAAAGGGUGCGUAGGCGGAUGUUUAAGUGGGAUGUGAAAUCCCCGGGCUUAACCUGGGGGCUGCAUUCCAAACUGGAUAUCUAGAGUGCAGGAGAGGAAAGCGGAAUUCCUAGUGUAGCGGUGAAAUGCGUAGAGAUUAGGAAGAACACCAGUGGCGAAGGCGGCUUUCUGGACUGUAACUGACGCUGAGGCACGAAAGCGUGGGUAGCAAACAGGAUUAGAUACCCUGGUAGUCCACGCCGUAAACGAUGGAUACUAGGUGUAGGGGGUAUCAACUCCCCCUGUGCCGCAGUUAACACAAUAAGUAUCCCGCCUGGGGAGUACGGUCGCAAGAUUAAAACUCAAAGGAAUUGACGGGGGCCCGCACAAGCAGCGGAGCAUGUGGUUUAAUUCGAAGCAACGCGAAGAACCUUACCUGGACUUGACAUCCCUUGCAUAGCCU